rnacentral:rRNA from 1 species
AUGCUGCCGUCGCCGCCGCCCGCCGCCUCCUCCAUUGCCGCCCUGCUUAAGUCUUGGUUAGGCUCUACUUUCGAAACCCCUGUUUGUCGUCAGUUUAGUGCUUGCCUAUUCUCGGUUUCGGUUGCUAGUAAGCGUAUUGCCCAGUUCAUUGUCUCUUUGGAAGGUAUCAAUUACCAGGGUACUGUCGUUUCGUUCCACGACAAGGAAUCCUACGCCCGUGUCCUCUCCUCCCCCUCUUAUAGCAUGCAUACCCCUCCUCGGCUGAAAUCAUUCCAUCUCUCCAUCCCCAGAAACCCUAAUUUCAGCAUGCGCUGCCAUCGCUGCCUUGCUCGUGAUCACUGGGUUAAGGAGUGCAGAGACCCGUUUCGAUGCUGGCAGGUGGGGCAUGCCCAGCGCCUCUGCGUGGCUAUUUUACCACCCCCAAGCCUCGGCUCUUCAUCCACCCCUUCUCACAUCUCUCAAACCCCCUCCGAGCCCAGCUCCCCUCUUGCUCCGCCUUCCGGUAGCUCCUCUUCUCCCACCGCGGCCCCAAUGGCUGACUUCAUCCCGGUGCCCAUCGAGAUCUCCUNNNNNNNNNNNNNNNNNNNNNNNNNNNNNNNNNNNNNNNNNNNNNNNNNNNNNNNUUUCGCCUUCCCUGAGCAAGUUGAUGCCGCCGAUGUUGAUGGCGAGGAGGAAGAGGAUCCGGAGGAGAUUGAAUUCGAAUCAGGGGAGGAAUCCACUGAUUCGGAUGCAAUCCCACCCAUUUUUCCUCCUUCCCCUCCGCGGCAUCGCAGAGACUAAUCCAAUGUCUUCAUGCCGCAUGUUCCGCUUGAGCACUUCCAGAACCUUGCCUUUGCUUUUGUCAACCCGUCGUGCCCGUCUCCCCACGCUUCCAUCCGUAGAGCUCUCCAGUCCGGGGCGGGGGACCCCCAGGUGGCCAUUAGGGCUUCUUCUCUUGGGGCGGGCCUUGUCAUCUUUGGCUCGGCCUAUGAACGAGAAAUCUCCUGCCUAUCUAGCCCUUUCAACUGCCCAGUUAACUCUGUCCAGCUGGUCUGCCACGAGGACACCGACAACAUGUUCCUUUUUCGCCUGGGCACCGUUUCCGCCUUAAACAUCGAAGACUUUCCCAUCGAGUACUGGUUCGCCGACACUAUCACCAAUUCCGUGGUCCCCUUUGCUUGUCCCAUCCAGAUAGAUCCUAUCUGCCUCACCAGCGUUGACUACUCGGCCGUCCUCGUCUCUGUCAAGAGCAGGACCCUCACCGAUGUCCCUCACUCCAUCCCCGUCCAUGGCUUCUCUGGCCUCGGUGCGAUCGCUACGGUCCUGGUGGUACGCUCGGAGGAGCUGCCGCCGGACCCCGCCUUCCCUGUUGACUCCGACGACGACAACAGCUAUGGGGGAGGCGAUGGAGGUGACGAUGGGGGUGACGGUGGGGAUGGAGACUUCCCUGCUGGCAUGGAUGAGGCCCUGGCUCCGCCCCCUCCCCCGCCCUCGGACGCGCUCCUCCGCGACCGCGUGGUGGUUCUCCCCGGGGGCCAGACCAUGAUGGCCAACCACAAGCCAAUGGUGAUGGCGGUCCCCCUCGACGCUCGUCCGGCCGCUGUCGACGUCAAGCUGUUCGCCGGCUUCUACGACAUCUGCAUCACCGGCCGGAAUGGCGAGAGGUGCUUCUACCGCAUCCCCAUGCGCCCGGCAGGCUCCCCGCGCCUCAUCGUUGCCAACCUUGCCUCCUGCUCCAUUGGAUACCUGAACAAGGUUGGCACGGUGGGGGUGAGGCGCAAGCCCAUCACCGACGCCGACAUCUUCUGCAUGGACUGGCGCGGGCGCACUUUCGGCAACAUCGUCUCCGGGGACGCCCAGGUCAUGGAAGCCAUCGAGCGCUUCGACUCGGGCGCCCCCCUCGCCCCCUCUCCGGAGCCUCUGCUGCUCGAGGCCCCGCCGGCCUCACCUACUACGCCACCGCCUUCUUCCUCUAUCGUCGUCCCGGUGCUGCCUCCCAAGGGCAAGACCUCCAUCGUCUACACGCGCCGCAGCGCUCGUCUCAAGGAGAGGGAAGAACCCAGGCGCAUGACCAUGCUCGAGAAGGCCACGCUGCUCAAGAAGUCCAAGCUGGAGGGGCUCAAGCAGAAAGACUCUUCACCUGGGCUCCUGCCGGCGGCCGAGCUCAUGGAGCUGGCAGCGAAGGUGCCAUCCCCUCUGCCUCGCUCGGACGUGUUGGAGCUGGCGGAAGCUUGUGGUGUCUCUGAGAUCGACCUGAACAUGGUGGCACCCGAGUUCUCCGAUGUGUGA